UACAGAGGGUGCGAGCGUUAAUCGGAAUUACUGGGCGUAAAGCGCGCGUAGGCGGCUUUGCAAGUCGGGUGUGAAAUCCCCAGGCUUAACCUGGGAACUGCAUUCGAGACUGCAUUGCUAGAGUAUGGGAGAGGGAAGUGGAAUUACGGUGUAGCAGUGAAAUGCGUAGAGAUCGUAAGGAAGGCCAGUGGCGAAGGCGAGUUCCUGGACAGUUACUGACGCUGAGGCAGCGAA
rnacentral:rRNA from 1 species